GACGUAGGGCGCGAGCGUUGUCCGGAUUUAUUGGGCGUAAAGAGCUCGUAGGCGGCUUGUCGCGUCGACUGUGAAAACCCGCGGCUCAACUGUGGGCUUGCAGUCGAUACGGGCAGGCUGGAGUUCGGUAGGGGAGACUGGAAUUCCUGGUGUAGCGGUGAAAUGCGCAGAUAUCAGGAGGAACACCGGUGGCGAAGGCGGGUCUCUGGGC
rnacentral:rRNA from 1 species